rfam:Ovis aries breed Texel chromosome 5, whole genome shotgun sequence.
UCCCUGGUGGUCCAGUGGUUAAGAAUCCACUUUCUAAUGUGGAAGAUCAGGUUCAAUCCCUGGUCAGGGAA